GGAAACUGGAUGUUCUCCUAAAACAGCCACCUAGCCAAGCUGAACCAACAGAGAUGUAUUGAUCACCGGGUCAAUGGAACUAGGUGGGUGCUGGGGGGAAAGUCAGCAGGUAAGUCAGGUGAGGACUGCCUCCCUUCCACUCCCCACCCAGAGACUGAAGACAGACAGACAGACAGAGGCGUUCAUUCAGAAAGAAGUAGGAGGGCUUCAGGGAUUCAGCGGAGGAGACUGAAAGCCUGAGAGACGAUGCCUCUGAGAAGGUUACAGACCUUGGGAGAAAGCGCUUUCACCUCCUCACCACAGACACUCUCGACUGUGGACUCAGGACACUAAGCCAGAAAGGUGACGAUUUCCUUCUUGAACCCGGCCUGCAUCAGCAGCUCAGACCCAGGGCUCCGGGUCCUUUGCUCUAUGUCCAGUGCUCUUUUUGCUCCCUCACACACUUAGCGAUGGCAGUGUUCUUAGUAUACUCAAAGAGCUUUGUAAUGAAUUAGAGCAGCCAUUCCCAACCUUCCUAGUGCUGCGGUCCUUUAAUACAGUUUCUUAAGUUGUGGCGAACCAUCCCCCCCACCCCCAACCAUAACAUUAUUCUUGCUGCUGCUGUUAUGAAUCGUAAUGAAACAUUUGAUCUGCAGUACAUCUGAUAUGUGAUUCCCGAGAAAGGGCCAUCAUAUUCCAAGGGAUCGGGACCCACAGCGUGAGAAGCCCUGAACUAGAGAUCCGCCUAAACUGAGAAACAACCUAGCACCUAUCCCAGCCCAUCAAUGUUGUAUAUGGCAACAGAUUCAAAAGCCCAGACUAAAACAUACUCACCAUCCAUGUUACCAGCUCUCACCAUGGGGCAGCAAUGUGGAUUUAGUAAGCAUAGCCCACGGGCACUCAUUUUGAAGACACUAGGAGAACUUCAAAGCCAGGUUUGUUCUUCUGCCUCUGGUGACAUUUUUAAAAUUUCAGCACUGUUUUUUUUUUUAAUUGAUUCUUUGUGAAUUUCAUAUCAUGCACCUCAGUCCUGCACAUCUCCUGUCCCCUCCCUCCCUCCAACCUCCACCCUUCCCCAACAAAGAAAAAUAAGUCCCCACUAUGGAAGCUGUAGUGUGCCAUCGUGUGUCCUUUUGUCCACACUUCUUUGCUUGCAAGUGCUCAUUGCAUUGACUUUGUUGGUCUGGUACGAGUCAGGCCUCUGGCUUCUGCUAUGCUAACGAUGCUAGAACCUUACUGAGACUCCUCUAGGGUAGACUGUUGUCACCCCGUGUGUCAUGGAGACCCUGUAGUUUUGGAUCUGCAGGACUGGCUUCUUCACGUACUCCAGCAGUUCAUUGAUGGGAUAGACGUGGGGUGGGCUAACUCAAAGCCCUGGAUCUGGGCCUGAGAGGUGUCUGAGCUGCUCAGCCCACCAGCUCUCCAGUUCUUGUGGCCUUUGGAUUGGCUCGCCAGCAACCCCCUCUCCCAGGGCUAGCUCUCCUGGCUGACCAGGAACCUGACAAGACUGACUAGCCAUCUCUAGCAUUCAGAUAGGUGGAACUUCAUUGUGCUGAAGUUAUGUUUGAGCACCCUCUGCUGGACAAAUCAGGUAAGUACAGGAUUUUUUUUUUUUUUUUUGGUCUUGUGCCUUUUAAAUUCAUGCUCCGAAGAAGAGAAGAUUUUUAUCUCGAAUCUACACUAAAAGAAGUCUCCUCUUUAAACAGAUGCUCUAUGACUACCAACAAUGUACCAGUGGUAUUCGUCUCUUGCAGAUCUGGAAGAAAAUGAAAUUUAGGUACAUACAGUCACGAACAGAUACCUAGAUGACACAUUUAAAACCCUCAAACACAGUGGAGAUGAGACCAGCAUAAUAUUAAGCUCUUCUCCCUCACAAACACCUGUGCUACCCACACUCACAGGCAAAAAAAAUAUACACAACUGCCAGACUGCAAUGCCUCCCAAUUUAUUGGCCAAAUCUAGAUUCUGCUAGCCCUGUAUAUUCACUCAGAAAGCCAGGCUUCAGACACACCAUGAGUGAUGAGAAAUCCAUUUCAUCAGCAGAGGCAUCUUGCCUAUCUUCAGGAAGCCUACAGACUUCCAGGGAAGCAGGGGGGAAAUCAAGACGUGUCUGACUAUGAGCUGGGGUAAGGGAAGCCUCCGUGUGAAGAUGUGACCUAGUUAGGACAGCUGCCGGAAAGCAGGACUGGCAAGCUUGGUGGUUUGUACACCGGGCCUUGGGAGACUUGGGACACAAACACGAGGUCUUCUGAGGAUGUUUGUGAGUUGCUGGGUUACACAAAAAGAUUCUAGCUCAACAAGCAAAGAAGCGAAGGGGAGGGAAGGGGAGGAAAGGGAGGAGAAGAAAGGAAGUGGGAAGAGAAAAUGGGGCCAAGAAAAGCCCCAAACAUCCCAUAAGCACCCAGAACAGUGUCCCCACCGCGAACCAACCGGGAACCAAAGUGUUCACACCAGAUGAGCUCGUGGAAGGGCUUUUUGCCAAUUGUUCAUGGGUCCCCAGUGAUGAUGGAAUAUUGCGACUUACGUUUCAACCGUUUAAAAAUUUACUGUUAUUAUUUAUGCAUUUCAGUGUUUUGUCUGUUACACGCUCUGUAACUCCAGUUGCAGAAAAUGUAAAACUUUUCUGCCCCCUCCCCCUCCGGCAACCGGGCACAGACAUUUACGGGAGGCUGUGGCUACUUUAGGAGAUGUGAGCGAGCAGUCUCCUUCCUGCUGCUGCAGCUGCAAGCUGCUCCUGCCGCCCAUGCCUUCUCUACUGCCAUGCCUUCCCUACCACAAGGGCCAGAACUCUCACACUGAAAGCCAGAAUAAAUCCUUCCUCUCUUCGGUUGGUUGUUGUCAGGUAAUUGGUCCCAACCAUGGUAAAGCUUAGUGGAAAAGAAAAAAAAGGUAAAAAUCUAUUGUAGACUGAGUGCCCUGAAUCAGAAAACACACAGUCCAGCUGCUCUGAAAUCUAAGCAUCAUCGUGACACUACAAAGAGAAAACUCCAUAUCUGACCACACAUGAGAAUCUACUGAUGAAUACAACCAUGGGUUUACUAAAAAAAGGUGUAUAAAAUGAUCUUCAAGCUGCUCGUAUAAGAUAGGUAUGAAGUGUAAAUUGAAUUUUGGGUCUGACCCCCUAACAUAUUUUCCUGCGUGAAUACAAAUUCCCUCAAGUCCAAAUAACCCCACACUUGGGCGUUUCAGAUAGGGGAUACCCAAUCUGUAAGCCGUUUACUGCCAUAGAGAAGCUAUGAUGCAAGCAGAGCCUACUAACAACUUGGCCAAAACACUUCUAAUAACAGAACUUCACAUGGGUUUCCAUGAGGUCAGAAUGGAAGUAGGAGGAUACAUUGUUUGACGUCAUGGUAUCUGUCCAAUUAAGGUCUGUGUGAGCCUUCCAUCACCAUAACAAAACACAGAACAGAAUCAGCUUUUUAAGGGGGCUUAUUUUGGAUUAUGGUUGCAUAGGAAGAUAUAUAGAUAGGAUCUCCAUGCCAAUAUUUUUAAUGGGUGCUGUCUCUAUUGCUCUGGGCAGGAGAAGGCAGCAGCUGGCAUCAAUGGUGUGGUGAGGAGAGAAUCAAGUUUCCUUCUCCAGUUCAAACAGACGAAAGUGAAGCGACAUAGGCUCAAGGACAGGGUCACUGGGCUAGCGCCACACCAUGGAGCCAAACCCCGAGCCUUCUAAAUUGUGAGCUGGGCAUGGUGGUUCACCCCAGGAAUCGCAGCACUGAGGGAUGAAGGCGAGAGAGUCACUGUGGGUGUGACAUCAGUCUGGCCUGAAGUCUGAGACUGUUUUUUUAAAAAGAAAACAUUUUUUUAUGUCAUAUAUUUAAUUAUAUAAAGAUUCUGUUGUUUUGUUGUUGUUGUUGUUAAAAUUCAGCCAGGAAAUUUCCAUCUGUCUGGUGUUAAUUGGUUGUUUUUCAGCACUAAUUGGGAAAUGAUAUAUUUUUAUUGUUUUAUAAAUAGAGUAAAACCCCUCAGAAACUGCUGGGGAAAUUUAAACAAGGAAAGCAAUUCUAUGUCCUUGCUUGACACCAGUUUGUCCCAGAGGUGACACAACUGUGUAGUUUUUGAAAACACUGGGCAUUUAUAUAUAUAUGAGACAAAACCCCACUGUAUAGCCCUGGCUAACUCGAAACUCACUAUGUAAAUCAGGCUGGGCUUUGACACACAGAGCUCUGCCUUUGCCUACUCAGUGUUGGGAUUUAACACCCACACCACCAUAGCCAGCCUUCUCUCCAAGGGGCAAAUUUCUUUCUGAAGCAACUUCCUCAUUUAUUAACAGUAUUGCUUCCAGACCCCGUGUGUGUGUGUGUGUGUGUGUGUGUGUGUGUGUGUGUGUGUACAGAUAUGUGUUUGCAAGUAUUUAGACACAAGUUGAUGCAGACUACACCAGUUUCAUGAAAUUGUUCCCAUGUCAGUGGCUAGUCUGAGCCUUUUGUACUUGUAAACAGCUGGCUGUAAACUGGGGAUUCCCAUACUCUCCUCUUCAGCCCCAUAAUUAUCAUGGUGAUUUGCAACCUGUAGGUAAUGACCCGUUUGGCUCAUAUAUCAGAUAUUCUGCAUGUCAGAUAUUUAUAUUUUGAUUCAUAACAAUAGUAAAAUUAUAGUUAUGAAGUAGUAAUGUAAAUAGUUACACUGUGGGGGUCACCACAACACGAGGAACUGUGUUAAAUGGCUUCAGCAAUAGGAAGGUUGAGAGCCACUGAUUUAUUAGGUCAUUUCAUGGAUCGUGGGGAUGCUUUCUACUUUCAUCUAUUGUUUAUUACAAAAGAUGUAGACAGACAGAUAGAUAGACAGACUCACAGAUAAAUAGAAAAAUAGAUGACAGAAAGAUAGAAAGUUAGGUAAAAAGAUAAAAAGAUAGGUAGAUGCUAGAAAGAUAGAUAGACUCAAAGACAAAUAGAAAGAUAGAUAAUAGAGAAAGGUGGAAAGAAAAAUAGAUAGAUGAUGGAAAGAUAGGUAGAUAGACUGACAGAAUGA
rnacentral:lncRNA from 1 species